rnacentral:piRNA from 1 species
ACCCAGAGAUGCUGAAGGGUUUGCCU